UAGGGAAUCUUCGGCAAUGGGGGCAACCCUGACCGAGCAACGCCGCGUGAGUGAAGAAGGUUUUCGGAUCGUAAAGCUCUGUUGUAAGAGAAGAACGAGUGUGAGAGUGGAAAGUUCACACUGUGACGGUAACUUACCAGAAAGGGACGGCUAACUACGUGCCAGCAGCCGCGGUAAUACGUAGGUCCCGAGCGUUAUCCGGAUUUAUUGGGCGUAAAGCGAGCGCAGGCGGUUAGAUAAGUCUGAAGUUAAAGGCUGCGGCUUAACCAUAGUACGCUUUGGAAACUGUUUAACUUGAGUGCAGAAGGGGAGAGUGGAAUUCCAUGUGUAGCGGUGAAAUGCGUAGAUAUAUGGAGGAACACCGGUGGCGAAAGCGGCUCUCUGGUCUGUAANNGACGCUGAGGCUCGAAAGCGUGGGGAGCAAACAGGAUUAGAUACCCUGGUAGUCCACGCCGUAAACGAUGAGUGCUAGGUGUUGGGUCCUUUCCGGGACUCAGUGCCGCAGCUAACGCAUUAAGCACUCCGCCUGGGGAGUACGACCGCAAGGUUG
rnacentral:rRNA from 1 species